rnacentral:rRNA from 1 species
AGGAUGAACGCUAGCGGCAGGCUUAAUACAUGCAAGUCGAGGGGCAGCAGGUCCGUAGCAAUACGGAUGCUGGCGACCGGCAAACGGGUGCGGAACACGUACACAACCUUCCUUCAAGUGGGGGAUAGCCCAGAGAAAUUUGGAUUAAUACCCCUUAAAAUUAUGAGAUGGCAUCAUUUUAUAAUUAAAGCUCCGGCGCUUAGAGAUGGGUGUGCGGCUGAUUAGGUAGUUGGUGAGGGUAACGGCCCACAAGCCUGCGAUCAGUAACUGGUGUGAGAGCACGACCAGUCACACGGGCACUGAGACACGGGCCCGACUCCGUACGGGAGGCCAGGCUAAGGUAAGGAAUAGUUGGUACAAGUGGACCGCAAGUCUGAACCAGCCAUGCCGCGGUGGAGGAUAGGAAGGUCCUGUGGUAUUAGUUAAACUUUCUUUUA